GCCAGGAUGAUGGAACUGGUAGACAUGCUUGGCUUAGAACCAAGUGCCUUCGGCGUGCAGGUUCAAGUCCUGUUCCUGGUA
rnacentral:tRNA from 2 species